UCGGCAAUUUCCGAUCUACCGCCAAAACUAGCCGACACUUUCAAAAUGCGUCGGCAAAUGACGAUGCUUAUUAGCGUCGUCGUAGACUUAGGAUAAGACAACGCUUAUACGCGUCGUUGAAAACCAAAUUUCCAUCAAAACCCGCGGCCGCCCCCUUCUCUCUCCAUCCUCGAUCGAUCAAGCUCUAAUAGAGCUACCUACAUCAAUCUCUCACCUCCAUCCCGAGCCUCCGUCGCCGUCGACCUACCGCCUUCUAAGAUUGAAGAUUCCCGGCCCCUGUUCCUCUCUCGGUCGAUGCCCUAGCUGCCGACAUCAAUCUCUCACCUCCAUCCCGAGCCUCUGUCGCCGUUGACCUCGCCGCCGUUUAAGAUCGAAGAUUCCGCUUCUCCGCUGCUGUCGAUUUCGCCAUCGUCUAAGUCAUCCUCUCUCGGCCGAGCAACGUCCGAUGCCUCUCCUCCUCCCUCCUCUCCAACGCCGAGCGACCGCGCAUCCGCAACCUCCUCUCCUCCUCUCUCCUCUACGGCGCCGACCGGAAGAUCCCUAGAGGUAUUAUAGUCCGGUUCUCAAAAUUCUAGAUCUUUAGCACAGAUCACACUGCAGGUUUCUCAAAAUAAGAAUUCACACCAUUGAUCAUGAUCCACAAUAUUUAAAAUGUGUACAAAAUCAAAAAAUCAAAUAUUUUUAAGGCCUUCGGAUCAUCUUUCAAAGUGCUAAACUAGAUAUAGGAGUGCUCUGUUUUAGAACUUUUUAACUGUGAGAGCUGGUGUACAAGUUCUGUUUACUUGCCACUUCUUAUCACAGUUGCUGAUGUUAUAGUGUCCUUGAUAAUCUAAGAGGUCAUUGUGUAUUUAGUACCAAAUUUGUUAAGAUGCUGAAAGUCCAAGGCUGAGGCUGACUGGAUUCAUCUUCAUGUAGUUGUUACAUGUAGUUGUUAUAUAUUUUCUUCAAUUUACCAGUUCUAGAAUAUAGUAUUAUUCAGCUUCAUCGAAAUGUAGAGGUAGCAUAUUAUAGUACAAAAUUGCUUCCUGUGCAAAUUUGAUGAAUUCUGACCGAGGCAAUCUGCAUCUAGUAGUUAAAACAAAUUUCAGCGUGCCUGUUUAGCAAGUCUUUCAUAUUUAUUGGUGAUUGUGGUACAAACAGGUGACUGAUAACUGCUUUGGAUUUUCCGAAAAAAUAAGCACUCCUAGAUUUGUAGCAACAUUAUGGUUCACCCGUAAUCAGGGUUUGAACAAUUAUAAGCCAUGUGCUCAUGUCUUCCUAUAUAAUAGCUGGACACAACUCAAAUAUGUUGCAUAUAAUAAUAAUUUUUGAAAAGGCCUCUCAUGGAUAAAUUUUGUCAAGGUUCUUCGGUAAUUUUUAGAUUGUACUUAAAUGUUUGUAACAUGGGAUAGAACCUAACUCUUUAGUUUGUUCUUUCUUUAACUGACUACAACAGAUAAAUUCUUUUGAAUUUCCAUGAGUAUGUAUUGUUGAUUCAUACCCUGAUUUUGUUUUAUUAUUUUUUAUAUUACUUGCAGUUCAAUCAGUAUUUUAAUAGAAUGGACAAAAGUUGGAUAAAUAAGUCGAGAUCCAGUGCCGAAUAUUUGAAUGGAGUUCAGAAUUUCGUUAAAUUUGCUUCUGAAAAAUCUGAAAUAAAUGGAAAUAUUUUUUGUCCAUAUCAAAAAUGUGUAAAUUGUUUUGCCAUGACUUCAAAAAUUGUUGAAGAACAUUUAGUAUGGAAUGGUUUUCUGAAGGGUUAUACAGAAUGGAUAUUUCAUGUAGAGUCUAAAUUGUCGUCUUCAUCUAACCAACCCUUAAUUAUGGAACACACUGCUAGUAUUGGAUCUAGUAACACGGACAGAAAUUCUGUUGUAGAAGAUGAUAUGAGGGGCUUACUCAGAGAUGCUCUUGAACAUAAUAUUAGAAAUUUAACAGAUUUCAGUAGAGAGUAAGAAGGAGCUCUAAUAGGUGAUGAACAUACCGUUAAUGAAUCUAUAUAUGUUGAGGAACUUAUAGAUUCUGAAGAUAACACAACUCGGUAACAUAACUUGCUGAAAGAUUGUGAUAAAGAACUAUAUUCGGGUUGUAAGAAUUUUUCGAAGAUUUUUUUUUCUGGUGCAUUUAUUUUAUUUGAAAUAUUUGAUCGGAUGGUCUAGCAAGUUUUUUACAAUGCUUCUUCAAUUAUUAAAUGAUGCAUUUCCAAAAGGUGUUACUUUGCCACCAUCUUCUUAUGAAGCCAAAAAACUAGUAAAAAAAUUGAAUCUUGAAUAUGAGAAGAUACACAAUUGUCCAAAUGACUGUAUUUUAUACCGUGGUGAAAAUAUUAACGAAGAUUCGUGCUGAACAUGUGGAUCUUUACGAUGGAAUAAACAAAAUGAAGACGAGCCUAAUCUGUCGAAUGCAGUGGAGGCUGCACAGACUAAAAAAAAGGGGAUAAAAUUUUGAAGUAUUUUUCUCUCAUACCUAGAUUGAAAAGGAUGUAUGCAUCAUCAAAGACGGCUUCCUUGAUGAGAUAGCAUGAUGAAGGCCGUAUAAGAGAUGGAAUGUUAAAACAUCCAGUGAAUAGUUUAGCAUGGAAAGCAUUUGAUGAAAUGGAAUGAAAUGCUUCCUUCGUAUAAGGUUGAGCUUCUUAGAGUUAUUGAGGUAAAGAAUUGAAUUUGCUUACUAUCUUCAAUUAUUGUUUGAUUUAACAUUGUUAUAACAUUGUUGACUUUGGUAUAGAAAAAGUUUGUCCUUCUUGCAAAUAGUCAUGAUUGGGUGCUGAAGUCCGUCAACCGCAAAUAGAAAGAAUAUAAGAUGAAGUUAAAGGCGGACUGAAAGUACGACGGCAUGACUGAAGAGGAGGUGGCCCGUGUUUGUCCUCCAGAUGUAAUAUCUCAUCAAUGGAUGGAGCUUGUCCACUAUUAGUUUUCUGAGAGAGCUUAGGUUGUGUAUAUUUUUUCAAUACCUUAGAUUGUAUUUACUAUUAUUAUAGAUUAAAAAUUUAUACAUUGUUUAUUAUUUUUUGGGAAAGAUAUAUUCCAACAUUAGUAGAGCUGCUCGAGCAUCGCAGACUGUUCCUCACAUUUCAGGCUUGAUGAGUUAUGCGAGGCAUAGAGAUGAAUUCAUGGAUGAUAAUGGGAGGAAGCCUAGUAAGGUAGAGUUUUAUAAGAUGACUCACCGACCGAAAUAGCAGCUUUGUUCGGAAGGAGUCAAGAGAUAUAGUUGACAGGGCAACAAGUCUUAUUUCAGAGUGCAUCGGAGAGUCAUCAUUAUCCGACGCAACCAGUCAUAUCGAAGCUCAAGUGCUCGCUGAAUUGAUGGGCCCAGAGCGUUAUGGUCGAGUGAGGGGUUACAGCGUUGGAGUUACCCCCACUCAUUUGUCUGCAGUGGACAUGUAUACAAGAAAUACUAGAGCAAGUAGUACCACCGUAGAAGUUCAUCAUCUUCAAACAACUAUUAAAGAGCUGAAGCAGAACCAAAAAAAUUUGCAGUUUCAGCUUACGAAUAUUUCAUCUUUGUUAUAAUGAUUUCUCCCUUCUCAGGAAAAUAACUAUAUAUAUUUGAAUACUUUACAUAUUAUCAGUUAUGAUGUAUGAGUUAAUGUAUCACAUUAUUCCUAA